AAUUUCCCAAAUAUCAUUAUGAAGAUGGGAAUGGUACUUAUUUUUGGCAGGAUGGUUGGCAUCUUGGUCCUCUGUUGCUUAAAUAUGUACCUCGGAUAAGCAAUGACAUUCAGUAGUGUGAAUGCAAAGGUCUCAUUAGCUCACAAUGGAGGAAACUAAAGUUGGCAGCCAGCAGGGUUUGCGGCUUUGGUUCAUAUUCAGGGCAAGUGUUUUGAGGCAAACCUUGAUCAAAAUGUAGCAGAAAAUGUCAAUUUAGAACUACAAAAUUUGGAGAAUUUGAAUGUGGGGGACAUCAUGGAAUGCUAUUAGACUUACUCCAUCAAAAGUUUAGCAAUUCAAGCUUACCAGGUAUUCUAACUAAUAGACUUUGUUCCAUUCCUUGAAGACCUGAUACUUGCAGUGCAUAGGCUUGGGCAAUAGUUCUAAAAGGCAAAAAAGCUUUGUUAUUUUUUUUUUUUUUUGAAGUUUCUUGGAUUGCUCUUAUAUAUCACACUUGGAUGGACAAAACUCUCAGUGGCAUGAGAACAACUUAAAGAUGAAAAAACUACGUUCAAGAUUAUUGUUGUAAAGGAUAGAUGGACUGGCAUCAAGCAGGCAUAUUGUGAAUACAGCCAGAAACAAAGGUUGUGUUCUUUUGGAACAUCCCUAUGACUAUUUGAUUCUAAUUCUUAACCAUUGUAUUUUUCUAUCUUCUCUUUGCUUUUGAUGAUAUGUUGAGCUGUAAACUAUAGUGUUUUAUCCUAUAUUGUUAAUAGGGCUCUUUGUAUUGUUUUGGUUCUUUGGUAGUCUGCUAGUCCUGUUUGCAAUGUAUUUGUUUUUGAUGAAUAAAUCUCAUUCAUCUAAAAAAAAAGGAUACUUAGGAGACAAAAGAUUAUACUUAGUUAAUCAAUAUUUUUUAUUUUUUUAUGAUGAAUAUGUUCUCGUUUGGCUAAAAAGAUGAUGUUCAGGGAAUCAAAUGUUGUGAUUAAUUGAUCAAGACAAUGAUGGUAAGCCGGGAGCCCAUCACCUGGUUAGGCAAUGUUAAGGGAAUUCUAAGCUAUUUUGGUUACUUGGAAGAGACUUACACAUCUCGAUCUCUCCUUUGCAAGAUUUGAAGUAUUCAUUUAUCAACAAAUUAGAAAUCUAUCAGAUAUUUAUUUUCUUAAUCUGUAGGGAAAUGAUCUUUGUAUGAAUGCUCUAUGGUGGGUUUCUCAUCUUUCUUUCGUUCAAUAUUUUUACACAAGGGGUAUCAACCUUCAAGGGGAACAAAAAUAUGCUUCAGGUAGUGCACUGCGAUUGUGAUUUAAUUCAUAUGUAACCUUCUACCCGGUGGGAUUUUGUUUCAGAAAUAUGCUGAUGCUAAAAUGGUGCCAUCGUUUUCAAUUUUUAAUCUAGUUUUGUACUGUUGCCAUAUGAUAUAUGAUCCAUUUGGAAAUGCAGACUUCAUUUUAGAAAUAUGUGAGAACACAAUGCUAUUGAAGGAAAUAGUGCAGGCAAUAUGAUGAUUUUAUUUAUUUAUUUAUUUUUGAAGAAAAAGAUAGAAAUUUUAUUCACUUGUAAAAUUUCGGAUUGCAAUGUAUUCUUUAGCGAUGGAGGUAUUUCUCCGAACCAA